rnacentral:rRNA from 2 species
GUAGGGAAUUUUCGGCAAUGGAGGAAACUCUGACCGAGCAACGCCGCGUGAACGACGAAGUACUUCGGUAUGUAAAGUUCUUUUAUUGAAGAAGAAACAAUAGUGGAAAAACUAUCUUGACGUUAUUCAAUGAAUAAGCCCCGGCUAACUAUGUGCCAGCAGCCGCGGUAAUACAUAGGGGGCGAGCGUUAUCCGGAAUUAUUGGGCGUAAAGGGUGCGUAGGCGGUUUAAUAAGUCUCUAGUUUAAUUUCAACGCUUAACGUUGUCCUGCUAGAGAAACUGUUUGACUAGAGUGAGAUAGAGGUAAGCGGAAUUCCAUGUGUAGCGGUAAAAUGUGUAAAUAUAUGGAGGAACACCAGAGGCGUAGGCGGCUUACUGGGUCUUUACUGACGCUGAUGCACGAAAGCGUGGGGAGCAA